UUCUCAACUCUGCGCGUGCGUGCCUGAGCGGCAGGUAGACUAAGGCAAGGGGGCGAUGCCCGCAGAGGAUUCGCACCUGUCAGUGCACUGACAACACAGCAACAGCAUGGAUUCCAAACGUUGCAGUCAGUCUGCUCGAUGGUCCAAGUCAGCAAUUUAUACACUGCUUCUAGGAGGUACCUUUGUUACAUUGGGUUCAAGUCGUAUCCUUUUGAUGAAAUACUCUGUCAAUGAAGAUAAUAAGUAUGAUUAUCUUCCUGCAACUGUGAAUGUGUGCUCAGAAUUAGUUAAGCUCGUACUUUGUUUGAUAAUGGCUCUCUGGGUAAUCAGAAAAGGAGGAUAUUCCCAUAGUGGAUUUGGCUGCAGCUCUUGGAGGCAAUUGUAUAGCUAUAUAAAGUGGUCAAUUCCAGCUUUUCUUUAUUUUUUAGAUAAUCUGAUUGUCUUUUAUGUGUUGUCCUAUCUUGAACCAGCGAUGGCGGUUCUGUUCUCAAAUUUUGUUAUCAUAACAACAGCUCUUCUAUUCAGAAUAGUGCUGAAGCGGCAGGUCUCCUGGGUGCAAUGGGCCUCUUUGCUGAUUCUGUUCCUAUCUAUUGUAGCUCUGACUGCAGGGACAGGAAGCAAUGAGCAUAGCUUGGCUGUGCAUGGAUUUCAUCAUGACAUUUUUCUCAGCCAUUCAAACAGUUGCCUGCAGUAUACCAAAUCAGAAGAAGAAUGUUGGGGCAAAGAGAACUGCACUCUUAGAUGGUCCUUCCCUGGCUUUACCUGGAAUGUCACAACUACGGCAGGACCCAUGAAAACAGUUCGUCUUGGACUAGGACAUCUGCUCAUCCUAGUGCAGUGUUUUAUUUCAGCAUUAGCCAACAUCUACAAUGAAAAAAUACUGAAAGAAGGAGGCCAAUUCAGUGAAAACAUCUUUGUGCAGAAUACCAAGCUGUAUCUCUUUGGAGCUAUGUUUAAUGCUCUGAUGCUAAGCUUCCGCCCUGAAAACAGGCGCCGGAUAGAGUAUUGUGGUUUUUUCUAUGGCCACAACAUAUUCUCCGUGGCCCUUAUUUUUGUCACUGCCUUCCUUGGGCUCUCCGUGGCCUUCAUUCUGAAGUUCCGAGACAACAUGUUUCAUGUUUUGACUGCACAAGUUACAACAGUGAUCAUCACCACUGUGUCAGUUUUUGUAUUUGACUUUAAGCCUUCCAUGGAGUUCUUCUUGGAAGCACCUGUAGUUCUUUUGUCUAUAUUUAUCUAUCACUCCAGCGGCCCUCAUUGUACGGAACACACUGUUCAGUGGGAAAGGGGCAAACAUAAUGGAGGUGCAUGGGAGCGCUCUAGUGGGGAUGGAGAAGAACUUGAAAGACUCACCAAACCAGGCAGUGAUCAUGAUUCAGAUGAGGAGGCCUUAUAGCAAAUGGUGGUCACAACUAAAAUUUGGGGGAGAUCGGCUGGACGUCCAUACCAACAAAGAGUCAUUGGAAUUCAGACGAUUUGGCUGCAGAAGGGAAGCAUCAUUUUGAACCAUGUAUUUUGAGAAAGCUGGGGUUUUUUUUCCACCUUAAAAUAAAGAGACUGGAGUGCUAAUGCUGACAAGAUAUCUCAGUUCAAAGAUGAUGUGAGAGAAGAAUUUAGUGAUGGAAUUAUGGAAGCUACCAUUUUGUGGAAAUCCAGAAGCAAAGUCCUCAAAAUAUUGCAUACCACAAAGAUAAAUGGUAACAUUUCUUAUGUGUAAAAUGUACUUUACCCUUUAAGCUUCGGAAAAUAUUGUUGCCAUCAUGUGUUGUAUGCCUUGGGUACCAUGUAAAUCAUCAAUCUUUUUAUAUGACUACCCCUGUGAUAUCCAGUGUUAAACUCUGCAUAUGUCUGAGCCUUAAAAUUACAGUAAUUAAGAUACCAUUUGAAUAUGAAAACCCAUAUUUGGGCACCUAGUAUUUCUUCUAAAUGCUACCAUCACAAUUGAGAUGAGUUAUCCAGCUGAUGGAUCUAUUAAAUGAAUAGGAAAUUAAUAAUAUUACCUUCUAGCCAUUUUGGACAUUUCUGUACAAUAUGGGUACUAUUUUUACUUUUGUUACAUGAAAAUAGAUGAAUUGUGUAUUUGAGCAUAAAAUUUAAGAUUACUUCUUUCAAAAUAUACUAACCGGAUCAUCCUUCCAGGAUAAUGCAAAACAGGAUCUAGAAAGAUAUAUUGUUCCACGUAUUUAUUCAUUCUUAGCCAAUGUAGUUAAAGGGAUGAAGGGAAUUGCACUCUUAACAUCUGAGGGUUGGGUGAUACUUCUAGUAUAAACCAUGUAACACUGGAUAAAACUGCAUUUUACAUGCAUGUUCACAAGCUGUGUGUUCCAAAAAAAUUAAUUUCCCUGGUAAAUAAGUGAUGUGCAACUAUCCCAUGUUGUUGCUAUAAAGAUACUCCAUCUUUUCUGGCUAAUUUAUUCAGUUACUAUCCUUGAUGGUGAAUUGCAAUCCAAUAAUAUGUGGAAGUCAAGAGUUUGGAGAAGAAUCUUAUGGCAUGUGGGCAAGGAAAAUUUGUAAUCCAGUAUUUCUUAACCUUUAAUGGAUAUUUUAAACAGGCCAUCUUUUAUAUCGGGUAAUGCCUUUAAGAUUUUGGCAUAUCUAGGUUAUGUACUAGGAAUGUCAAUUCCUUAAAGAAAAGUUAUCUACCCUAUAAAUGUUUCCUAAGCUUUCAGCUUGGAAGUAGCAAAUUGGAGUGCCUCCCUUUGAUUGUCUUUGAUAUUCAGUCUUUUGUACACAUUCAUGUUUGUGUUAAGUUCCAUAAAAGGCAAAAGAAGUACAGGCAUAAAAUGCAGUGCAGCAUAGAAAGUUUGUGCUGAUAUAUAUUUAAAGGUGUUACAAUAUUUUGCAUGCAAAAUAUUCUGUGGAUAUGAUAGAGAAAUUUCUGUUUUUCCAGCAUUGAGAUUCAGUUUUGGAGUGGAAAUGUAUAAAGAAAAUGGUACAAUUGUAUUUAAGACAUUUAGCAACUGUCACAUAUAGAGAAUUCUAAAUUAUAUAAAACAAUGCUUGAAUUGUGAUGUGAAGUUUCACUUCAGUUUAAAUUUCAAGUUUAAGAUUCAUUUGUAAAGAUGUCUGCAGGGGCAAGAAUUAAUAUUGAGAAAUUAUUGGAAGAGGAAAGUAUGAAAAUGCUAGGGAAAUAUUCCAAUCAUGGUUAUUGUGUUGAUAUAAGGUGGUUCUAUUAUUUGCUUUCAUAACAUCUAAUUGAUAUUUUUCUGUAAUGUCGCUACCACACUGAAACCUGGUAUAAUGAAGUAUCCUUUUGACCCUGCUUUAUCUUAUGUUUAUUGUAUUUAUUCAGAAAUACUGUUUGAAGUAAGGAUUUCUUUUACCAACUUUAUUGACGCAAGUAUCCAUUGUGCUUUUAUUGAUAGUCUCUGAAGAAGUAGUUCUAACAUAACAGUGUUCCUUAACAGCAGUUGUUUAAAUACAGUUGCAAGACAAACUUUGCCUAACUUACCUACUAGUG